GGGGGGGGGGGGGGGGGGGGGGGGGGGGGGGGGGGGGGGGGGGGGGGGGGGGGGGGGGGGGGGUGGUGGGGUGGCGGGCGGGGGGGUGGCGCGGGGGUGGCCUGCGCGGGGCUUUGGGGUAGCUUCAGGGAGCUGGGGCUAAUACCGGAUAGGAGCUCCUGCUGCAUGGUGGGGGUUGGACAGUUUCGGCGGUUGGGGAUGGACUCGCGGCUUAUCAGCUUGUUGGUGGGGUAGUGGCUUACCAAGGCUUUGACGGGUAGCCGGCCUGAGAGGGUGACCGGCCACAUUGGGACUGAGAUACGGCACAGACUCCUACGGGAGGCAGCAGUGGGGAAUAUUGCACAAUGGGCGGAAGCCUGAUGCAGCAACGCCGCGUGCGGGAUGACGGCCUUCGGGUUGUAAACCGCUUUCGCCUGUGACGAAGCGUGAGUGACGGUAAUGGGUAAAGAAGCACCGGCUAACUACGUG
rnacentral:rRNA from 1 species